CCCUUUUCACAAGCGUUGGUAGCAUACUUGUAACUAUUGUGGAGACUUGCGAGCAUAACUACCGCUCUCGUCGUUCACAACGAGGCCAAUCUUCAAGUCAACGACUAAAACGCUACGGAGAAGCUACUAUGUGACAUCCAUAUGAGACAGUAUUCUCCCUUAAUCUCAUAUAGUCGAGAAGAGUCACACAGUCACCAUAGCAGCCGAUGCUUCAAAACCUAAUGCUGCCAUUUAAAAUUUAUUUAACAAGUUUUGAAAUUAAUCUGCUUUAAUAAAUGAAAAUUAUGCUAAAAUUUACUUUUUCAUGUAUGAAGAAGAAAAUAAAUUAAUCCCCCUUAUUAUUUGCAUUACGUCCUUGUCACUGUCAUUAAAAUUCCCUUUUUACAAGCUUUGGUAACAUACUUGUAACUAUUGUUGAGAGUAGCGAGCAUAACUAUCGCUUUUGUCUUUCACAACGGGGCCACUCUUCAAUGCAGUACUUAGAAUGUUACGGAGACACUACAUUUCAUUUUAGACCUACCUUAAUGACACCUUGUUGAGCACGAUAAAGUUCUGCAAACCAGGUUUUCAUCCGGCAUACAAAAUACUAUUCCAUGUUGACAACAUUCCAUUCAUGUUAACA
rnacentral:lncRNA from 1 species